rnacentral:lncRNA from 1 species
UUUUUUAGAAAUUCCAGGAGUUUUGCUUAUUUACUUAUUUUUGAAGUUGUUUUUAUACUAAUAAAAAUGUAUAAAAUUUGUCUAAAUUAAAGGUUAUUUUGAAACAGCUAUCGAACUUUUCGAAAUUUUAAUUUUUUUGCUUAACCUUUCAAUUCGUUUGAUUUAAGUCAGUCAAUAAUAUUCUGACUCUAAAAUUUAAAUGUUUAUAGUAAAGAUUAGGUAAACUAUAUGUACUGAUCAGAGAGAUGUUUCUAUACGAUUAAACUUGGCCCGAUGAAAUCCAGAUUUUUAAAUCUAAAAAUACCACGACAACGAUGUACGAAUUAAAAACUAGUGAAAAUAAAAACAAUUUGACUCAAAUU